AGCAGAGCCCCUCACCCUACACCGACAUUGUCUGAGAUCAGGAGAGAGCACAUCCCGAGUGCCAUUUUAUCGCUAGAAGUUUGUCGAUUCAGCUCAUUACACUUAAUUAGAAUUAUUUAAUUAGAAUCUUAAUAAAAGAGUAAAGCAGGAAGGAGGCUGGGAGCGGAGGUGAGGAGAUCCGUGCUGGGCCUGCGAAGCAGCAGACGCAGCUGGGGAAGUGCGGGUGCAGGGGCUGUGAGGGAUGGGGGAAACCUGCUUGCACAGAGCAUCUGUAGCAGGUAGGGCCACUGCAGCUCAGGAGCUGUCAGUGGAGGGCGGAGGGGGUGGUCUGGACUGGGCCUCAUCUCUUCUUUACCAGAUGCCAAGCCCUGGGCUAGGGGAGUGGGCAUGUGGUAUGGGGCCCCAUUUCCGGUCCCUGAGGGACACAGUUCACAGACGAGAAGAGACGCUUACAGAGAGAACAAACUAGAAGUCAGAUGUUUUUACAGAUGGUGUGGGAGACAGAGCCAUUGCCGCCCAGAGCUCU
rnacentral:lncRNA from 1 species